CCCGCUCCUCAUUUCUGGGGCCUUCCGCCCACCCCGCCCCGCUCCCGGGCGGCUUCCGCUCUCCGGCUCCUUUACAGGGCCCACCCGCUCGCCUUCCGGCCCCAGGCCCCACCCGCGGUUAGACACCAGCCGCCCGGCUUCCCGCGGCACCAGACUUCUGCUCGCCGUUCUCACAAAAUACAACUAGCAGGCGCCGCGAACGCGCCCCAGGUGACGUCAUCGCGCCGGGCCCAGGGGUCACGUGAUUCCGCGCGCGGCCUUCGGCGGACUGCGUGGUGACGUAGGCGCGGGCGUGCGCGGCAGAAGCCAUGGCUGGUGGAUGAGGCGUGUUUGUGCGGUCGCGGACCGCUGCCGGGCAGCGUCGUCAUCCGAGGCCAUCGAGGGCCCCAGGUGGUACCUGCGCUCUGCUGAGGCCAGGGAAAACCGAGCCUACUUCUGUGUCUUGGCCUACAGUUCCGAAGUGUUUUCUGAACGUAAAGUCCACACCUAGAAGAAUGUGGAAGAAAAGGCCGUUUUGUGAAUGAUAUGAUGAUAGAGAGGUUUCUCUGGUCGCCUAAGUGUAGGAAGCUCAGCUCUAGAAUUACACGGUCGUAGGGAGUAAAAUUCGCUCCCCUCGUCCCAACUGCUUGAUAAGGCUUCCUCUGCUCAGGCUCCUUCCACCUGUCGGAGUCACCUGUGCCCGUGCGCUCCUGGAAUAAACCCAAGUGAAGGCUUCCAGUGGACGCGGAUCCCUUCAGUCCAACUGCAGAGGCUGAGCACACCAGCCUCCACGCGGCUGCGUCUGGGGACACUUGCCCAUGAGUCUCGAGUUUCUGCAGUCCUCGGAGCGAGGUGCCGGCUGCCCUUUUGCCCAGAUUGCCUUUUCAAGGAUCUUCAAGUAGCAGACAGCCUCGAGAUGUGUGAGGUAGCGCCUCCCUCCAGAGCAGAAAGCAGCAUCUGUGAAACUGGAGUUUGUCUGCUGUCGGAUGGGAGCUAAAUCAGACCCUUACCUCCCCCAGCAGACUCUGCUCUGCGUCCCUGCCCUAGCGCAUAACAGGAAGUGCCUGCCAUCCCCCAGUGUUUCAGAAAGCCCAGGAUGCUAGAACUAGAAGAGACCUGAGAGAGGAUCCCUUUGGUGGCUGUCAGGCUGUCCAUGGAAUCUGCAGUGGUGUGGGCGCUGUAUCUGCCUCCAGAACAAGAAUCCUCGCUGUGCGGCUGACCCCGUGGCUGAGUGGUUAAGUUCGUGCUCUCCACUGCAGGCAGCCCAGUGUUUCGUUGGUUCGAAUCCUGGGCGUGAACAUGGCACUGCUCAUCAAACCACGCUGAGGCAGCGUCCCACAUGCCACAACUAGAAGGACCCACAACGAAGAAUAUACAACUAUGUACCGGGGGGGUUUUGGGGAGAAAAAAGGAAAAAUAAAAUCUUUAAAAAAAAUAAUAAUUAAAAAAAAAAAAGAAUCCUCGCUGUGCAUCAGGACCCAGGUCUCUCUGACAUCUCCUGAAUAAGGAGAAAGACAUAUUUAAUAAACAGUUUUAAAUGUG
rnacentral:lncRNA from 1 species